rnacentral:rRNA from 1 species
GACGAACGCUGGCGGCGUGCUUAACACAUGCAAGUCGAACGGAAAGGCCCUGCUUUUGUGGGGUGCUCGAGUGGCGAACGGGUGAGUAACACGUGAGUAACCUGCCCUUGACUUUGGGAUAACUUCAGGAAACUGGGGCUAAUACCGGAUAGGAGCUCCUGCUGCAUGGUGGGGGUUGGAAAGUUUCGGCGGUUGGGGAUGGACUCGCGGCUUAUCAGCUUGUUGGUGGGGUAGUGGCUUACCAAGGAUUUGACGGGUAGCCGGCCGGGGAGGGUGACCGGCCACAUUGGGACUGAGGUACGGCCCAGACUCCUACGGGAGGCAGCAGUGGGGAAUAUUGCACAAUGGGCGGAAGCCGGAUGCAGCAACGCCGCGUGCGGGAUGACGGCCUUCGGGUUGUAAACCGCUUUCGCCUGUGACGAAGCGUGAGUGACGGUAAUGGGUAAAGAAGCACCGGCUAACUACGUG